CUGGCACACCUCCAGAAACUGCUCCUUUUAAUAGCUCUGAAGCACGUUUGAUGUGGAGACAAAUCUUCCCACUUUUCUGACGAAGGGAGUUACCCCUGUGCUUCCCCAGUUAAUCCAAAGGAAACCUCAUGCGCUGACUUUGCACUGCGGACAUGGGAGAUGGGGUCACGACCAGUCCUUGAGCAAAGAAGCUGCAGACAAGUGCGCUUCAGCACGGGGAAGGAAGAGCCUGAAAGUGGAAGCCGUGCUCUGGCUGCUCCCGAGCAGCAGUGACUUGGCAACGCUGGCUGAAGGUGACCAGAUGCUGAGAGGUCCCUCCCUGCGUGCCGCAGCGCUGUGCACACUGUGCCGCACCGAGAGUAAUGCCCAACGCGUUCUGCACAUCCCCUGUUCCAUGGGAACACUGAAGCCUGACAAUGCGGACUCAUUAACAUUAAUUAUUAGAAGAGGAACAUCAAUUAUUGCAAUAACCUUUGUCAAGCCGACUAAACUGACUCGAACAGCCAAUGAGCCGCGCUUGUCACGCAGGAUUUGCUUGUGCAAAGCGAACAGAAAGGACAGCCGAAGCGCACCGCGACCGCGCGUCAGCGUGCAUUCCGGCACCAGCAGACCUCCGGGAAGGGAAUAAAAGGCGAAAGCAACGCAGGGCUGGACUCCAGCAGGCCCAGCUCCGCGGGGGAGAUGCAAACAGCGGCAUCCCCGCUUCCUCUCGCGCUCCGCACGCCGUAUUUCUUACACUGAUUAUUGUAGCGCGGGGACUUUCCGGCCCCCAGCAGCGCAGCACUGCGCCGUGUCACCGCGAGGCAGGUUAGGGUUGGCUGCAGGGCCGGCUGCUCGCUGCGUGCCAAGGCACGUUCUUACACCCUACGGGAUGCUAUGGCUGGGGUACCCCGCCGACUUCUUCUUCCGUGAGGAAACCAACCCCAGGUGUGGAUCUCCUCCGCCCGAGCCCAGACUUAGCGCUGCAGGAACGCUUCAGAUCCUCCGUUUAGUUCAGCGGCUCUGGCAGGAGUUAAAUAUCAGCGGUAGCGCAUCUAUAAUUUAAAAUACUGCCAGGAGGAGGGCUGAGUCACUAAGCUGGAUCCAUCACCUCUAACUGCGCUUCUCAGGCUAACCGCAAGCACCCGCCCGUGCCUGAGAACGAAAUGAGCCUUUCGGAAGGACCCUGAGCCAAAUCCCUGGUUCCUAAGAUUAUAUUUGCACACAAACAGAAACGAGGGCAGCUCAGCACCGCGCUCCUUGCAGAUGCUUCCACAGCUCCGUGCUGCGAGCUGCUGGGAGAGAACAAGCAGAGCGCUCCCUGUGUCGGUCACACUGCGUGCAGUGCAAGCAGGAGACCUCCUCCGGGUCCUGCAGCGCAGCCCCACCAGGCCCAGCGCUGCGCCCACCAGCACCGCUGCACUGCGUGGGUCUCCCUGCUAACGGCGGCGUGCAACAAUUAAGUGACUGCUACAUUAGCGAUUCUGGCCCCGCAGCCUCGUGGGCAGGGGGAGGUCCACAGAGAUGGUGCGAGCCCUUCCCUCGGCAGCAAUUGUGCUGACAGGACAGUCCAUCCGUCUUGGCGUCUUUAGACAGCUGUGCUUACCUAGCAGAAUGUAAACAUCUCUGAACUUUGCUUACUGGAUAAAAGGAAGCAUUAGUUUCCUAUUGCAUUUCCUCCUGCAAGAUCAAUCAUACAUGCGGGCUAGACAGAGCAUCCCUGUGUUUGUAAUUAAUCUCGUAAAGGACGAACAUCUCCCCUCCAUCGAUUGCUGUAUUUGUAUGCAGCCUUCCUGCGAGACAGAGAGUGGAAGAGGAAAACAAGGGCCAGUAGCAGAAUAAUAAUCAGCCGAUCCCUUAAUAAGGGCCUCAUGUGCUAUACAGACACAGCAAGAUGCUUUUGUGGCCAGCCGG
ensembl:lncRNA